rnacentral:rRNA from 1 species
UACGUAGGGUGCAAGCGUUGUCCGGAAUCAUUGGGCGUAAAGAGCUCGUAGGCGGCUUAGUAAGUCGGGUGUGAAAACCCCAGGCUCAACCUGGGGACGCCACCCGAUACUGCUAUAGCUAGAGUCCAGUAGGGGAGUGUGGAAUUCCCAGUGUAGCGGUGAAAUGCGCAGAUAUCAGGAGGAACACCGGUGGCGAAGGCGGAUCUCUGGGCCUUACCUGACGCUCAGGCGCGAAAGCGUGGGGAGCGAACAGG